rnacentral:rRNA from 1 species
UACAGAGGAGCCAAGCGUUGUCCGGAAUUACUGGGCGUAAAGGGCGCGUAGGCGGCCCGCUAAGUCGAACGUGAAAUCCCCGAGCUCAACUCGGGAACUGCGUCCGAUACUGGUGGGCUUGAAUCCGGGAGAGGGAUGCGGAAUUCCAGGUGUAGCGGUGAAAUGCGUAGAUAUCUGGAGGAACACCGGUGGCGAAGGCGGCAUCCUGGACCGGCAUUGACGCUGAGGCGCGAAAGCUAGGGGAGCAAACGGG